rnacentral:rRNA from 1 species
AUGGAGUGGAGCCAAGGAUCUCAGCAGGGAAAAAUAUUGUCACACGCUCAGACACCUCCAGUUCCUUCAGGAUUGCCAUUGGUUGGCAAGGUUGAGAAAUCGGAUGUAACGUCAUUAUGCAUAAUAGCAUUCAGGUUCACACUGUUGAGCAGUGUUGGCAAUUUGCUAGUGGUAUUUCAUCAUGAUGGUACCAGCAAAGACACAAGUGAGCUGCUAACUGGCACAAUGGAGGUUGUUGUUUGCUUCUAUUAUCUGAGCACAUUAGCGCCUUCGAACGUGCGCCCCAACGCACGGAAUUUCAUAGACACAGGCGCUCUUGUUAUUAUGUCUUAUCUGUUAUUACUGGACAUCAACUUGAGCUUUCUCUGGCUCGCCAUCUUGCCCACAAUGGCCAUUGUUUUCAUAACAGCGCUUUACAUCAAGCUCAAUCAUCAUACUGGUGAUAGCCAUGGAAAAGCUACUCCAGGAUCUUCUAACAUCGACGAGAAGACCAUCAAGACACCGAUGGAGCUUCGGAUCAUAGUGGUGGCGACUUUUGGGGCUCUCCUAGUCAUGGAUCAGCUCGACGACGAUACAGCUGGUGGGUUCACCAUCUCCCAGUUCCUCCUAUUCCUGAGCUCCACGGUGGCGGCAUUGACAUGCAUGGUGAUGAAGCUGCCUGCCGAUCGUUUUUUGGGCAGUGCUCCGGCAUCAGAGUUGCUCCAAAAGGCCUUGCUUCUGCUCCUACUGGUGACGGUGCACACAUUGGCCGCGGAGUUGUUGGGCGAGGACGUGGUUCUGUUCUGCAUGCCAGAGAUCAUCCCGGUGCUCCUCUGGUUCAGCCUUAAUCUCGACCGCCCACACCACAGCCCGCUCACCAACAUCUACAAAAUGAAGCCACACAUGAAGGGACUCACUAUUGCCAAAGGUGUCCUGGUGGUAGUUCCUCUUUUCGCGUGCUUAGUGAGCUCCAUGGAUGUAUCUGGGCUCUCCUACUGCACGACGAUCAUGGUGGCAUGUGGCAUCUCAGGGGUUCUGACCUACUACAUUGUAUUCAUGCUAAACUACUGGCAUUGGCCGUGGCAGAAGCAACAAGCAGCAGCUGGCAGCAGCAGCAAGGACGAUGUGCCUUCCUCAGGUGUAUUGGCAUGUUCAUGA